GGAGGCGUGGCAGAGCGGUUGAUUGCGCCGGUCUUGAAAACCGGUGACGGGGCAACUCGUCCGGGGGUUCGAAUCCCUCCGCCUCCG
rnacentral:tRNA from 1 species